AGCGAACGUUAGCGGCGGGCCUAACACAUGCAAGUCGCACGAGAAAGGGGCUUCGGCUCCAAGUAAAGUGGCGGACGGGUGAGUAACACGUGGGUAAUCUGCCUUUCUGCGGGGGACAACAGUCCGAAAGGAUUGCUAAUACCGCAUACGUCGUGAGGUUCUCCGGGACCUCACGGGAAAGCCGGCCUCUCCAUGGAAGCUGGCGCAGAAAGAGGAGCCCGCGGCCCAUCAGCUAGUUGGUGAGGUAAUGGCUCACCAAGGCUUAGACGGGUAGCUGGUCUGAGAGGAUGAUCAGCCACACUGGGACUGAGACACGGCCCAGACUCCUACGGGAGGCAG
rnacentral:rRNA from 1 species